GACGAACGCUGGCGGUGUGCUUAACACAUGCAAGUCGAACGGAAAGGCCCUGCUUUUGUGGGGUGCUCGAGUGGCGAACGGGUGAGUAACACGUGAGUAACCUGCCCUUGACUUUGGGAUAACUUCAGGAAACUGGGGCUAAUACCGGAUAGGAGCUCCUGCUGCAUGGUGGGGGUUGGAAAGUUUCGGCGGUUGGGGAUGGACUCGCGGCUUAUCAGCUUGUUGGUGGGGUAGUGGCUUACCAGGGCUUUGACGGGUAGCCGGCCUGAGAGGGUGACCGGGCACAUUGGGACUGAGAUACGGCCCAGACUCCAACGGGAGGCGGCAGUGGGGAAUAUUGCACAAUGGGCGGAAGCCUGAUGCAGCAACGCCGCGUGCGGGAUGACGGCCUUCGGGUUGUAAACCGCUUUCGCCUGUGACGAAGCGUGAGUGACGGUAAUGGGUAAAGAAGCACCGGCUAACUACGUG
rnacentral:rRNA from 1 species